CCAUGCGAGUCGUUGUAGCAACAAGGCGGGAAUGCUCAGUAACACGUAGUUACUUAAACCUAUGGAUGGGCAUAACCUUCGGGANCUGAGAAUAUACCCAAUGGACACAGUGCCUGGGAAUGGCUGUGGUUGAAAUGAUUUAUCGCCGUAGGAUAGGAACUGCGGCCUAUCAGCUUGUUGGUGAGGUAAUGGCCCACCAAGGCUAUAACAGGUACGGGCUCUGAGAGGAGGGGCCCGGAGAUGGGUACUGAGACACGGACCCAGGCCCUAAC
rnacentral:rRNA from 1 species